rnacentral:rRNA from 1 species
UACGGAGGGGGCAAGCGUUAUUCGGAAUUAUUGGGCGUAAAGGGCGCGUAGGCGGCUAGAUGUGUCAAAGGUGAAAUCCCUCGGCUCAACUGAGGAACUGCCUUUGAAACUGUCUGGCUUGAGGCCGGGAGAGGGUAGCGGAAUUCCCAGUGUAGCGGUGAAAUGCGUAGAUAUUCGCAAGAACACCAGUGGCGAAGGCGGCUCACUGGUCCGGUUCUGACGCUGAGGCGCGAAAGCGUGGGGAGCAAACAGG